rnacentral:sRNA from 1 species
GCCAGGCGUGGUGGCACACACCUGUAAUCCCAGCAGCCGAGGAAGCUGAGGCAGGAGGAUCGUGAGUUCAAAACCAGCCUCAGUAAAAGCGAGGUGUUAAACAACUCAGUGAGACCCUGUCUCUA